rnacentral:SRP_RNA from 1 species
GUUGGGCAUGGUGGCUCACACCUGCAAUCUCAGCUUCCACGGAAGCUAAGGCUGGCAGAUCUCUUGAGUUUAGGAGUUAUGGGCUGCAAUGGGCUAAACUAAUCAGGUGUCUGAACCAAGUCUGGCUAAAUUAAGAUGGUGAGCUCCUCAGGAUGGGAGGAGACCAGGUAGCCUAAGGAAGCUCGAACCGAGCCAGGUAAGAAAUGAAACAGGUCAAAGCUCCCUUGCUCAUCAGAGGGUGCCUGUAAGCAGCCCUACAUUUCCAGCUUGAGUGAUAUGGAAAGACUCAGUUUUU